rnacentral:rRNA from 1 species
GUGUCAGCAGCCGCGGUAAUACGUAGGGACCAAGCGUUGUCCGGAAUCAUUGGGCGUAAAGAGCGUGUAGGCGGCCUGUUAAGUCUUGCGUGAAAUCUCGGGGCUCAACCCCGAGCGGUCGUGAGAAACUGGCAGGCUAGAGUGCGGGAGAGGAGAGUGGAAUUCCUGGUGUAGCGGUGAAAUGCGCAGAUAUCAGGAAGAACACCCGUGGCGAAGGCGGCUCUCUGGAACGCAACUGACGCUGAGACGCGAAAGCGUGGGGAGCAAACAGGAUUAGAUACCCUGGUAGUCC